GAAACCGCAGGACACCCACUCCACCAGAGAGCCCUGGAAAGAACAGCAGGACAAGGGGCGGUGCUUCCAGAGCCUUCCUCGGAGGGAGGGGGAAGGAAGGCUUGUGAUGCCCUGCCUCCCGCGGCAGCCCCAGCGGCAGCCCUCAAAACAGGCUUCUGAAAUUGCUGGCUGAAUGGCUCUGACUCACCACCUGACUCGUUCUUGCUCUUAGUUUCCAUUAUAGAAACCUUAUCUUGUGCGUCAAGAUCGGAGAUAAAAACGAUUCCUUUCUCCAUCCUUCUCAAAGGCUCAUAAAUCUUUUUUAUGGGCCGCAGAAACCCCUUGCCAGUCUUACAACUCAGGAUUGUGUCCUCAAAGACCUGGGGGCCAUCUCUUUGUCUGUAAUCAUCAAGGAAGGUAACACCCCGUUUCCCCAGGGGGAGAUGCACCUAAGUUUCACCUGACUCCACCUUGCAAGACCUGCUUAAUGUCAACGACUUAUCCACUUAGCUAUGAAGAGAGAUGCGUUCUGUCUUUGCAACCCCUCCGGCUGUUGGCCUGUGAUGCUCAUCACAUUCCGGUUUAAUGUGGUUCCGGGAGAGAAGAUGCCAUCCAUCCCGGUGGAGGGGGGCCCGGCGGCAGCGGGGAAUGAUGACAGGGCAACGUCCUUCCCUCCUGCUAAGUCCUGGAGGCCUUACAGAAUUAAGGCCCUGCUUGAAAGGAAAGACGUCCACAAAGCAAAUGCCAACAAGCAUCUAUGUGGCUGGAGCCACCGCGUACCAGCGAUGUUUCGAUUUCAUCUUGUCAUCAAAAUGUAGCCAAAAAUGGAUUGAGGGCCAUCCCAGUGGGCUGGUGACAGCAGUGAUGUCUGUUUGGUCUGAGAACAUUCUCGAAAUGACACCCGUGUGAAUACUUAACCCGGCGGAUGCACUGGAUGCCACUUUGCAGACCUUUCUUGACUUAGGAGAAAUGUUUUCAAAAGUCCCCCCAAGGAGACGUGUGGAGCAUUAUUAUCAAACUCGCCGUUUCUCAUUCUGUUCCAAGCCCCUUUUAGUACAAGUACAAUGUUGAAGCUAUUAUCGUCCCGGGAGACUUUCUCAGCCUGGCUCAUUUGUCACUGUCUGUCACCACGCUGGGAUUCUUUCACUUCCUGUUCCAUUCUUGUGCUUACGCAUCUUAAUGCUCCCUAUCUAUCACUGAACCUUGUUUUAGCCAAUACGGGUUUGCGGUGGAAUUAAAACUCCAUCAGGAGGAGAGACAACACUAUCGCGAGCUUACCACCGGAGGCUGCUAAGCAUUCAGAUCCUGGGGUUCUCUUAGAGGCUCUCGGGCAAGGGGUGAGCCUCCUCUGACCUGGACACCAGCGCCCUUGGAGCCCACGUCGGUCUAAUGAUACGAGGAUGCUCUGAUAAGAACAAUUUACCAACCGAAGGGCAGUGAGUCGAGAAUGGUUUUUUUAUUAUAAUGAGGCAGCGUACGGCUUUUUCUUAAGAAAAAAUGGUAACUCCCAGGACAGGUCAUAUUCUUUCCUCAUUUAAGGCGGUGUGUCCUCAUUUGGUCUGGAAAUGUCAGAGAGCCUGAAUGAUUAACGGAAGAUCUUGGGAGAGGCUCAGGGCUCAGCCAGCGCUUCACUGUGUACUGCGGGGAGAUAGUUAACCACUCUUGACCUCAGCUUUGCCAGCUUGCUUGCUCUUAGUCAUUUUGCAGAAGAAUACAGUACAAUUUCCAAAGUGAAUGAAGGGGAUGCUUCCAGGGUUGGGACAGACCCAGCAGAUACAAAGCAGUGGCCAGUUCUAGAUCAACCCAAGACAGGGCUGAGUGCUAACUGUCUACACUGUGCAAAAGCCAUCGAUGUCAGACUUUUCUACCAAAAUGGUUUCUUGAGAUCAAUUUCUUGCAUCACUAAGCGUCUUGUAUACAAAAAAUUCUUUUUAGGCUUCCCCUGGCAACAAGCACAUGUCAAUCACAUGGAUACUUGCACAUGGCUCUGCCAGAGUUAUUCAUGGGACUCUGAGCCCCUCUGCCUCAGCCCCAUCAGGAGCAGAGCACCCCCACGGUCUCCUGUCUCUGCCUUCAGUUUUACUCGCUCCCCUAUGAGCACGGGGCAGUGGUUGCCUUGUGCUGCUUUUGCACCCAGAGUGUAAAGCAUACAGAAUAUCAAGUCCUUCUGGGGGCGACUGGGUGGCUCAGUUGGUUAAGCGUCUGCCUUUGGCUCA